rfam:Bombyx mori DNA, contig: Bm_scaf46_contig25037, strain: p50T/Dazao, build 2, whole genome shotgun sequence.
UUAACUCAAAUUUGUAUGGAGUUGGAACGUUUUCCUACGUUUGUCGCUAGGGGCGCUGUUCCAACUGCAUACAAAUUUGAAGUUA